UACGUAGGGUGCAAGCGUUGUCCGGAAUUAUUGGGCGUAAAGAGCUCGUAGGCGGCCUGUUGCGUCCGCUGUGAAAUCCCGGGGCUUAACCCCGGGCCUGCAGUCGAUACGGGCAGACUAGAGUGCGGUAGGGGAGACUGGAAUUCCUGGUGUAGCGGUGAAAUGCGCAGAUAUCAGGAGGAACACCGGUGGCGAAGGCGGGUCUCUGGGCCGUAACUGACGCUGAGGAGCGAAAGCGUGGGGAGCGAACAGG
rnacentral:rRNA from 1 species